rnacentral:rRNA from 1 species
UACGUAGGGCGCGAGCGUUGUCCGGAAUUAUUGGGCGUAAAGGGUGCGUAGGCGGCCUGACAAGUCUGAUGUGAAAUCCCUGGGCUCAACCCAGGGCCUGCAUCGGAAACUGUCGGGCUUGAGUAUGGGAGAGGUGAGUGGAAUUUCCGGUGUAGCGGUGAAAUGCGUAGAUAUCGGAAGGAACACCUGUGGCGAAAGCGGCUCACUGGACCAUUACUGACGCUGAGGCACGAAAGCUAGGGGAGCAAACAGG